rnacentral:rRNA from 1 species
GGGAAUGCAGCUCAAAGUGGGUGGUAAACUCCAUCUAAAGCUAAAUACUGGUGAGAGACCGAUAGCGAACAAGUACUGUGAAGGAAAGGUGAAAAGAACUUUGAAAAGAGAGUGAAAUAGUAUGUGAAAUUGUUGAUAGGGAAGGAAAUGAGUGGAGAGUGGCCGAGGUUUCAGCCGCCCCUCGUGGGCGGUGUACUGCCGACGCCGAGUCAUCGAUAGCGAGACGAGGGUUACAAAUGGGAGCGCCUUUCGGGCGUUCUCCCCUAACC